UACGUAGGGGGCAAGCGUUGUCCGGAAUUAUUGGGCGUAAAGAGCUUGUAGGCGGUUUGUCGCGUCUGCUGUGAAAUUUCGGGGCUCAACCCCGAACUUGCAGUGGGUACGGGCAGACUAGAGUGUGGUAGGGGAGACUGGAAUUCCUGGUGUAGCGGUGAAAUGCGCAGAUAUCAGGAGGAACACCGAUGGCGAAGGCAGGUCUCUGGGCAUUAACUGACGCUGAGGAGCGAAAGCAUGGGGAGCGAACAGG
rnacentral:rRNA from 1 species